UCACCACCCUCACAGGGAAGAAUUUCUCCCUAAUAUCUAAUAAAAUCUACAUUCCUUCAGUUUAAAGCUAUUCCUCCUUUUCCUAUCACUCCAUGUCCUUGGAAAUGUGACUUCUGGGCUAUUCCAUCCUCAGCAGAGUCCUGAAGGCUGAGCCCUCCUCUUCCUCUUCCCUGCCUGCAGCCAGCAAUCUCUUUCCCAGCAGCUCUUACUGGUCACUGUAGACAACAAAAAUUGACAUUUUACAUCUUCCCAGUCACAGAACAAAACACCUGCAACUGAUUAAAAAGUUUUCUACCUCAAAAAAAACCUCUGUGCAUGGGGAAAAAAAUGCACAGCAAGGGCUGGUUCUGAUCUGGCUGUGUGAGACAAAGUCCAGAGGAGGUUUCCAUGGAGAAGACCUGGAGAAUGGACAGGACGUUACACUAAUGGUGCUGCACAGAACUGAUCCAGCCAAACAACACCCAGCUGAACAGAGCUCCACGGCCUUUUUAUAAAAUUAAUAAGGCGUGGAAGAGAUAAGUGUCUCCCAUUAGUGGAUUUAAUACCUUGGCUUAAAAAUCCUACCCAGGAAACUUCCAUGGCUUUUCUGCUGACCUCGCUGGAUUUCAGCGUAAGAGAGAAGUGGAAUUCAGCCUAAAAGUCAGACAGUGAAUGCAGAAGUCAAGACUUAGGAAAAAGAUUUUAAAAAAAAAGGAGCUGUUGAUAUUUCUCCUCUCUGACACGUCGCAGUCUGUCAAAAUGGCCACUGCCUUUAUUUUGUUUAAUCACUUAUCUCCAUGGAGGGAAGAGGAAAUUCCCAAGAACGCACGGUCGUUAAAAAUAUUAGCCAGGGCCUGGUGAUUAUUUUUGGUAGCUAAAAACUUCCUGGCUGAGGGGUCUGGGUUUGCAUUGGACUCGAGUAAAUGUUUUAGGAUAACUUUCAUAAAUACCCAUUAUACUCAAACCAGUGGGCAGUUUACAAUUCAGCUGGGAAGGGCGGGGACAUGUUUCUCUUUCUUUUGUUCUGCCUGGACGCAUGCUAAAGUGCAUAGAUCUACACUGAAUUAGCAUUUAGCUAUUUUCUUGUAUCCUUAAAUAAAGGACCAGUUCACACAGUCAGAAAUCUCUGUUUCCUUUUGGGCAGGAAAAAGGAAGUGAAUGCAAGGGGCAGAUUUGGAGUUUGCUUGCAAGAACAAUUGAACUCCCAUCCAGAGGGGAAGGGGAUCUGCGUCAAGAGGAAUUCACUUUUUUCUCUUUUUUUUUUUUUUUUUUUUUCCCCCCUCUGGAAGGGAAGAGAAAAAUGACCUUUAGUUUAAAAGCUUGAAAGAAUAAAGGUCUGAGCCUUCAGAGCUGCCUGCACAAAUAUAGUCAUAAAGGCUUUUUCCUGACAAAAGGCUCCCGGGGCCGCUCGCGCCGUCCUUCAGCGACUGCGGACACGGCUCCGGCUGCUCCCCUCUUACUUAUCCCAGGUGAAGGGCGGCACCCAAACCUGUCAGCAGUUCCUGCCCACCAGGGACAGGCCCUGGGUGUUUCUGAAAAAUAUCUCUCGUUUUUCUAGCUGUCCCUCCCCAGUGCUGCCCAUGCUGGUGGGGCGGAUGAGGCUUGGUGGAUGGGAUUUAGAGGAUCCUCUUGCCUUGCUCCCCCAAAAUCUCAUUUAUAGAUGUGUGUGCAAGCAGGCAGGGCAUUGGCACAAUCCCUUAUGUGGCCAGCACCUCACACUGGUCCCAUUUUGGUCCCUUUACUGCACACCACAAUCCCCCUCCCAGCUUCUCUGGGCAGAGGAUGUGUGCUGAGCUCUCAGGGGCUUGACUGAGUGUCAAAAUAUUUUCUGUGUGCUCUCAUCUCCAUGGUCUCACCUAAACCAUUUCAGCCCUCAGCACUGCUCUCCGUUUAGUGGGCCUUAACUAUCCACUGAGGAUUUUUCUCUGUAUUUUUUUCUCCCCCCAUGCAAGCCAGAUUUCCAAGACAAGCUUCCAAGGAAGCCCCAGAGCUGGAGAACACAGAGGCUGAACCUUGUUAGGGUGUUUGAGCACCUCCAAGGCCAUUAAGGACUUCAGAAUGAAGGUGAGUGCCACAGGCUGGGCUGUCCCCAUGAUUCCCAGCUCUUGCCAGAGCAAUCCUGGGAAAAAAGGGACUCAUCACCCUUCCCUCCUCUCCACACAUCAGCCAGACCAGGCACAAAUCUGCCCAAACCAGAGCCAGGCCAGCAGUUCCCAUCCUGCAUCCUGCAGAGCAUCGCUUCCCCAGGCCUGCUUCCCUCCAGGUUUCCACUUUUCUUCUCUGGAGCUGUCCAUCCUCAGCGAGUGCAGCUGGAGGGAUGCCCCCACCAGCGCUCUGAGGGACAAACCAGAGCCAACAGAGACCCAGAGGGACGAGCACAACCGGUCCCAAAGCGGUGAGACAUCGCCUCUGCCAAGGAAGCAGCUCAGAGAUUGGUUGUGACAUACCCCAGGCUAAUUCCAUGGAAAGCCUGUUUUCCAAAGGAAACGUUUGCCAUCUUACUCCCAGCCUUGAUUUGCCUGUCCCUGCUCACUUGCCAGAGCUUGUUCUGCAACGUUAAUAGGGAAGUUUCUUUGCACAGAGCCAAUUGUGCCCGAGAGGUUUUGUUCACAAGGGCUGAAAAGCACAUUCACUUGGUGUUUGAGAUGACAUUUAUUUGGUGGGUGAGUUGGAGAGCUCAAUGAGCAGAGAGAAAAAAACAUCCUUGUGAGGAGCUCUUUCGAAAGAAAAGAAACAAGAACUCAGGAGAGAUAAGAAAAUGAGCGUUUGCAGAAUCUGGGAAAGCCUCGUGCAGUGGGAGGGAGACAAAAGCACGAGAGUGCACUUUAUUUGUGACAAGCUUUCCAUCCUGGGCAGCCAAACAGGACAUCCUGCUUCAGUUCUCCUUCCUCUCUUUAAUUAGAGUUGUGUUCAGGACACUGCCGUUAAUGUCAUCUCAGCAUUUCCAUGACAAAGCCCUGUUUUUGCUGGACUUUAGGAACUUGGCCCUAGAAAAGUCUGUUGUUAGUGUAGAACUGUUCAGUGCAGAGGCUGGAGAGGGUUUGAUGACAGCUGCUGUGACAUUUCCAUCACAGGGAGCUGCCACCAGCUGGGAGAGAGGUGUUUCCAUCCCGGAUGUGGGAGCAGUGGAGGAAACCAGAGCCCAUCUCUGGCCACAGCAGGAUUAGGGGUGUUUGUGCUCCAGGAAUGUCUCCAUUUCAGGUCUGAUUUGUGGCACAUCUGAAAGUCACUGAAAACACACCACCCACAUUUUUUAUUCUGAGUCACUCAGGAAGCCUCUGUGACUGCAAAUAAUUAAAGAAGAAUCUGAAAAGAAAGGUGGAUUCUCCUGCAGUGGUGUUUUCACUACCUGAGAACAGGGCCUGGCUACAGCCCCCCAAAAGGAGCCCCUGAAAUUCCUGUCAAAGGGGCACAAACACCGACCUGGCUGACAAGGGAGCUGUAAAACACCCGUGUUUGAAAGGAGCUGAAAUGCACCUUAAACACCAGGACAGCCUGGCAGAGCUCAAUCAGCUCUGCUGAUAAACCAGAUUCCUGUCAUGCUUGUUGUGCUGUAUAAACUCCUUCCUUUGGGUCUCCAGGGCAGGACCUGGGGUUUGUGCACAGCUCUGAGCACAGGGGCAGGAGAAAUCCUCAUUCCCAUCCCACUGAGAGAGCCCUGUUACACCAGACUCUGCAUCCCUGAAAAGGAGAAACCAGAGCCCA